rnacentral:rRNA from 1 species
UACGAAGGGGGCUAGCGUUGUUCGGAAUUACUGGGCGUAAAGCGCACGUAGGCGGACUCUUAAGUCAGGGGUGAAAUCCUGGAGCUCAACUCCAGAACUGCCUUUGAUACUGGGAGUCUUGAGUUCGGGAGAGGUGAGUGGAACUGCGAGUGUAGAGGUGAAAUUCGUAGAUAUUCGCAAGAACACCAGUGGCGAAGGCGGCUCACUGGCCCGAUACUGACGCUGAGGUGCGAAAGCGUGGGGAGCAAACAGG